GCCGGCACCCAUAUCAUCCUGCAACUCAAAACUGACAACCUACUGGAGCUCAGCAGGUGUGAGCCUGGUCAGUACCUUGAUGGGAGACCUCCUGGGAGAAACUAAGGUUGCUGCUGGAA
rnacentral:rRNA from 1 species